rnacentral:tRNA from 1 species
GAGGGUGUAGCUCAAGUGGCAGAGCGCAUGCUUAGCAUUCGCAACGCUCUGGGUUUAAUCCCCAGCACCUCCU